GUUGGUUUACAGUCUGUAGCUUUCUAUUGGUAAAUUUGAAGAAAAGAAAUUGACAAGAUGUUUAUCAAUGUUGUUUUAUUUUGUAGAUGGUCGAACAUUGCAAGGAUGUAUGGAGUAGAAAAUAAGAUCUGACUAAAAACCAACAUGACAUCUCCACUUUAUAGUGCAUUUGAAUUAUAUCUCUUAAAAAUAAUUAUCAGGAAAUAACAUUUAAAGUUUCUAGAAGACCAAGACUUUUAUUUAAGGAAGCAUCCUUUGUAUUUUUGAUAUUCUAAAACUGUCGUCCAAUGAUAGAUCUGUUUUCUAAAGACUACCGGUACAAAUAAUUGUAUAAUAUAUUAAUUGAUUUAUUUAAAUUAUUAAUUUCCAAACUUAUGAAAGGGAAUUUUUAUAGAUUUAGACUCUUAAUUCAUUAAAUGAUGAGAGUAAAGAAUAGUCACACACUGAAACUGCAUAAUUUACAUUUGAGUUUUAUACAAUGAAGAUAUGAAUAUGCAGUAAAAAGUACUAUUUGGAUGAACUUUUGUAAUGAACUUAUUUCUUGAGAUAAAAUACUGCUUGUAAAUAUUUUUUAAAUGUAUUUAUACUUAAUAUUUACAUGCUUUAAUUGUUUUAUGUUUAUUGUGAUGAACAGUUGCUUUUUAUACUUUUAAAGUUUUAUAUGAAAAUUUGUGUUUCCUGUUCAUAAUUAUCUUUAGAAAGUGUAAAAAUAAAUACAUCUAGAAAAGACAGAUAAAAGUUAGCACAAAACAAAAUAAAAAAAAACUGGUUAUAGUAAAAAACAAAAAAUUAUGAAAUACUCUUCCAACCUUAAAGAAUUACAUUGUUUAAAGUCUUUGAAAGAAUUGAUUCUCAUGGUACAUCUACAGGUGUAACCCCUAUGCAUUUGUAUAGAUCAGAUUUAACAUUGUAUAAUGAUAAAGCAAUUAACAGUCUUAUGAAAAAUACUGUGACAAAUGUUUAAAAUGAAAAGAUAUUUAUAAAUUGAAAACAUUUAUUUGAUGUAUAUCAAUUUUGGUGCCUUUCUAGUAAUUACACAUAACAUUGGAAAUCCUUUAGUUUGCUGUUGAUAUUUGAAUAGGAAUUUAGAUAAAUUUAUUUUUGAUAGCACAAUAGCAACAUAUGUCCUGCAAAUAAUGUGUAAAUACUUUGUAUAUAUUUGAUGAGAUUUGCAUUAUGUUAACUAUGAGUUAUUCCCCUUUAGUUGAAAAGCUUAACAUUACCAUAUCAGAAGUUUAAUUUGUUGAUAUUGAGAUUUUAUUCUGAUAUUACAAACAGAUAGAAAAAAAUACCCACAAAAAAACAUUCAGUGUGUGAAAUGUAAAAAAAAAGACACAAAAGUAAAAUCUUAUCUUCAAAAAUCUUAUAGGUCUUCUUGCAUUGAUAAGUUGUCUCAUUGACGUAUACCAACAUAUUUGAAUUUUAAAAUAUAUAUUUUUUCAUUUUUAUAGAAAAGAAAAAAGUACUUUGAAAUUUCCAUAUAGGGGUCAAAUUAUUAUAGUUCAAUUUACUGCUUUUGUUUAACAUUAUACUGUUCGAUGUGUAUUCAAAUAUAUCAGAAUAUGUUCUCAUUUAAAAGCAUUUGCCAUGUAUUUAACAAGAAUACUCUAGCAAAUGUCUUUUCAAUCUAUAGCUUAUAAUUUAGUCAUCCUAGCUUUUUUCAUAUAUGAACAAACUUUAGAACAGCACAAUAUAACAUAAGUAUCUCUGCAGAUGUAAUUUUCCUCACUACAAAAAGAAGACAUUAAAACCUGAACAUUUUUACAGAAAUUUUAUUGAUGAAGAAUGAUUCCUUUAAAAAUCUAAAAAUGUAUAAUCUGAUUUAAUUUUACUUCAAUAAUUUCAGCGUUUUGAUUUCUGUAAUAUUGUGCUGGUAACAAUAUAUUAAAUGUAGUAACCAAUUUUCCAGUUACUUCCCUUUAUUGGUGACAAGAUAUCGACUUUGAUGUAUGAUUUAAAUCCUUUGUUAUUGCAUAUGUAUGUUACAGCUGUUUUGCAAUAAAACAUUCCUUUCUCUAAGCUGCUUGUUUUUAUACCACCCCAACCCC
rnacentral:lncRNA from 1 species